rnacentral:lncRNA from 1 species
AUGCUACAACAUUUAUUUUGUAUUAAUCUCAUUCUAGUAGUCAUGUCUUUUUGUUUGUCUCAUAGAAGCACCCGCCUACCAGAUGAUUUUACAACCUCAUGCUUCCAAACCAGACUUUUACCACGGACCCCUCAACUGACCCAGAACAUUCCUAAAAGGGAAACCCAAACUGCUUGCCCCACAUAGCCCCCUUUCAGCUUGAAGCAGCCAGAGCGGUCAUCGUCCAUUUCCCCUUACAGCAGUAAGGGUUCCCUUCUCAGAGGAGGGAUUGAGGCUGGGGUGGGGGAUGCAAAAGGAUGGUCAGUGUAGGUAAUGAAUGAUUGGGUCAGGAAGAUGGGGGCCAUUCAAAAAGAAUUAAAAUUCUUCCUUCUACAAGCUGUUGCCAAGGUUACCUGCUUCCAGGGACUUAUUCCUCCCUGCAAGGAGUUGUUAAUGAAAGCCCUCUGGGCCACUACCUUCCUGCCUGUAUCCCUGGAAGGUUCCUUUCUCACUGUUUGGCCACAUAGGCAAGAUAAGGGGAAGAGGGAGUAUGAAACAAAGAAGUCUGAAAUCUAUAGAAGGGGCAGGACACCACCCCCACUUCCUCAGGCACCAACUUGUACCCCCUUCUUUGUGGAGGAGUCUGAUUCUCUCUCUGUUCUAUUCUUUAAACAAAACUUUUCACAAUUGCCUCAGUGUUCGUAGGGUGUUCAAUCUUCAGCACCAGGGAAAUGUGACUCAAACCUAAUUCUCA